GCGGCAUUAGCUCAGCUGGAUAGAGCGUUUGACUACGAAUCAAAAGGUCAUAGGUUCGAAUCCUAUAUGCCGCACCA
rnacentral:tRNA from 4 species